rnacentral:tRNA from 1 species
AGCGGUAUCGCCAAAAGGUAAGGCAGUAGACUUUGACUCUAUCAUUGCAGGUUCGAUUCCUGCUACCGCUG